GUAAUGAACAGUGGGUAUUAAUGCCUACAGAUUUAGAUCCAUUUGUACCACAAAUAAUCAGUCUGGAAGGAAAAACAUUUCUGCUCUCCAAUUCAAAGGAAAAACAAACUAAAAAUAAGUAAGUAGUUAUGUUCUCUCAAAUAUGCAUAUAAAGGCACAGUGAUGGCUCAGUGCUUCUAUCUACUGAGAAGAAAAUGGCAGGAGAGCAGUUUUCAAAAAUGUCAGAGGGUUUUUAAAUGUCAGAUUUACCACCUUUCAUUGUCAUUUCACUUUGUCUGUUAAACCAUGUUAGAUUUAGGCUCGCCAUGGUAACCUUCAGCAUCCUCUCCUUGGGUCACAAGUACAUUUGUCCUUUUGAGGCUUUCUUCUCUUUUUGGUUUUGUUUUUUCAGCUGAUAAUUAGUUUACUUGAGCAAAAUGAGGCUUUUUUUCUGAGGUUUUUACGUACAUGAUGAAAGGUCACGAGGCUAAAGUCAGCUAUGCCAGCAGGGAAUCUGGG
rnacentral:lncRNA from 1 species